rnacentral:rRNA from 1 species
UACGUAGGUGGCGAGCGUUGUCCGGAUUUACUGGGCGUAAAGAGCGCGCAGGCGGUCGAUUUAGUCGCGUGUGAAAGCCCCCGGCUCAACUGGGGAGGGUCACGCGAUACUGAUCGACUCGAAGGCAGGAGAGGGUAGUGGAAUUCCCGGUGUAGUGGUGAAAUGCGUAGAUAUCGGGAGGAACAUCAGUGGCGAAGGCGGCUGCCUGGCCCAAUACUGACACUCAGGUGCGACAGCGUGGGGAGCAAACAGG